rnacentral:rRNA from 1 species
CCUACGGGAGGCAGCAGUGGGGAAUAUUGGACAAUGGGGGGAACCCUGAUCCAGCCAUGCCGCGUGUGUGAAGAAGGCCCUCGGGUUGUAAAGCACUUUCAGUGAGGAAGAACGCCUGGUGGUUAAUACCCAUCAGGAAAGACAUCACUCACAGAAGAAGCACCGGCUAACUCCGUGCCAGCAGCCGCGGUAAUACGGAGGGUGCGAGCGUUAAUCGGAAUUACUGGGCGUAAAGCGCGCGUAGGUGGCUUGAUAAGCCGGUUGUGAAAGCCCCGGGCUCAACCUGGGAACGGCAUCCGGAACUGUCAAGCUAGAGUGCAGGAGAGGAAGGUAGAAUUCCCGGUGUAGCGGUGAAAUGCGUAGAGAUCGGGAGGAAUACCAGUGGCGAAGGCGGCCUUCUGGACUGACACUGCCACUGAGGUGCGAAAGCGUGGGUAGCAAACAGGAUUAGAUACCCUUGUAGUC